UACGUAGGUGGCAAGCGUUGUCCGGAUUUAUUGGGUUUAAAGGGUGCGUAGGCGGUUUUUAAGUCAGUUGCUGAAAUACUCCAGCUUAACUGGAGGGGUGGCAUUGAUACUGGAAGACUUGAGUACAGAUGAGGUAGGCGGAAUUGACGGUGUAGCGGUGAAAUGCAUAGAUAUCGUCAAGAACACCGAUAGCGAAGGCAGCUUACUGGGCUGUAACUGACGCUGAGUGCACGAAAGUGUGGGGAUCAAACAGGA
rnacentral:rRNA from 1 species